rnacentral:lncRNA from 1 species
GAUAGGAUGUGCGCUAGGAAUUAGGUUGAUGGAGAACUCGACUUUCCAUCAAAGAGGCAAACUUGGUAGCUCUUCCAGAAAAACAUCCGAGAAGUCACAGAUAAAUGGGAUUGUCUGAAUUGAUGGCUCAGGACAUAUUCGCCUAUGCAUCACAAAGGUUUUAAAAAGACAAACAACAGUUUUAAAAUAAUUCUUUUCAUGUUGUUAUAACUUAUGUGAAAUUUUGUAAAAUUCAUUCAGAGAAAUAUUCAUUU